CUGUCUGAGGAUGCUGAGGGACACAUUCCAGAUGUCAAUCUGAGGUCCAGAUGUGUGAACCUCUGAUAAGACAAAUAAGACUCUCAGACCCUGGCUUUAAUUGGUAACCUCUCAGUGACAAUAUUAUAUCACUGUGAGCAGGACCUUUCUCUCACAUUCUCAUGAGGCAAUGUGCAUCUUCAAUAUGUUCAAUAUGACCUGACACUUUAUUUUGCUCUAUUUGAACCUCACUUUGGUUAGACACUUGGAUAAAAGAAAAUUUUUUUUAAAUAAUUAGUAAGAAAACAAGAUGGAUUAAUUAAGAAGAAUCAAGUUGUCAUCCUAAAUAUAACUAAUUUAUGGAUUGAAUGUUGAUUCUUGCUGGGGAAUAUGUUCUGUGACUUUCUUUUUUCUGUUUUGUUUUUGUUGAGAUAUAGGAGACUGGAAUGAGAUCUUCCACUUCAGAAAACAAGAGGGCAGUUUCAGUGGAAAUGGUACCUGCAGCUGCCCAUGAAGUUGGGUAAACUCGUUUUCAAAGCUACAGAGGCCUGAGAAGGUACAGCCUCAUUAUGGUACCAGGAUGGCACCCUGUGAAGAUGGAGGACAAAGCACAGAGGGGGAGUUUCAGUGAAAGGGGGUGGCUGAACAUUGGAUGAACUCAUCUGCAGAGCUGCAGAGGCCUGAGAAGGUGCGACCUGCAUUACGAUCACAGGGUGGAACCAUGUGUCUAUGGAAGACCAAGUAGAGAGGGCCAGUUUCAGUGGAAGGGGUGCGUUCGGCUGUUUCGGAAAUUCAAUGGACCCUCCAGAGCCGCAGAGACCAUAGAUGGUACGGUCUCCAUGGUUACCUGAGGGGGGCGACCUCUGCCAAAGUGACAGCAGGC